CACAAAGAGGUCCUGUGGUUUUCCAGCACCACUGAUGAAAAGCAAAAUCUGCAUGGCAUCCCUGGGGGCUGGGGGAGCUGCAGCAGCACUCAGAGCAGGCCAAGAAGAACAAAAAUCCCACAUCCAAUAAUGCAGAUGUUGGCUUGUCUCAGCCCUGUGUUCCCCUGCCAAAGAGGGGUGAGAGGGCUCUUUCCAGCCCCUGAAUGCUCCUGGGACAUCUAUGAUCUACCCUGCAGCUGGCCUGGGUCUGCCUCUUCUUUCUGUGUGUUGCUCCUGCCCGUGGUGCUCACCUACACCAGCAUAUGGAUUUGGCAGGUGUAAACACAUCCCAGGUUUACCACCUCUGGUUUCUGGAAAUGGACAUUCAUUUUGGGAAACAAGUGGAAGAGCAGCAUUCUGCCAGGACUGGACUCUAAAUGCUGCUGAACUGGAAUUCAGUUGUCCUGUGUUGCUCAGCAAGUGUGAACAGACCACUCCUGAAAGCACAAACUGACUCAAUGGGAUGUCUGGACUGAACCAGAGGCAAGAACCUCUCCUCCCAAGCAGAGAGGAUUCCUGGGAGAAGCUCAUGCUGGAAUGCAGAAGGGAGUGGGCAAACCCAAAACACUGAGGCAUCUAA